rnacentral:lncRNA from 1 species
GUUCAGUUCAGUGUUUAGCUGUGGGUAUCUGCUUCUGCUUCCAUCAGCUCCUGGAUGAAGGCUCUAGGAUGGCAUAUAAGGCUGAAUCCUGCAUGGAAGACGGUCAAUGAAAAACCAGUGCGUAGACUGCCAUCUACUGGACAACCAGAAAACAAACUGCUGAGUCGCCCUAGGACCUUGAGCAACAAAGGCAAAAAGGCAAAAUUAUGAAUACAUCAGUGGAACAGACAGGAGCAUGUAGGCACAACAAUGGUCCAGUUUGAAAUGAUUAUUUGCAAAAGAGUGUACAUUUCUACUUUCAAUGUUUGUACAGAGUCACUGGAGUUAUGACAAUAAAAUGAUUUUCAAAUUGUGAUUCCUUGAUACACCCAGGGAGCAGAGACGACUCAGAACUUCUAGUGACAUAUCAAAAACAGAUAUGAGGAAUGUUCCCUUCCCCAGAAUAAGAACAGAACGGUAUUCUCUUUAAUCACCAUGUUAUGAAGGUGUACAUGCUAAGCCUGGGGACCAUUCUGCCCAGUAAAGAGAACUUAGUACUCUCUAAGGACUUAGGCUCAG